GGGCAGCAGAGCCUGGAAUGUUCCCCAAGGUUUGCCUGGCACUGCAGGUGCUGCAGGAAUUUUACUUCCACAAAGCUCCAGCAGAGCAGGAGACAAAAGUGAGGGGUUUGGGGUGAGGUUUGUGCCUUGCACAAAGGGUCCAUUGGAGGCUGUUGAGGUCACUGGUGGGGCUUUGGGGGGAUUUCAGCUCAAACCUCAGUGAUUUAUUCUGCUGCCAUUCAGUUUUGAGGGUGCAGUUGUCACUUGAUGCCACUGUGUCCUCAAGGGAUUUACUGCAGGGCAGCAGCAGAGGAAAAGACAGUGUUGAAGUAAAUGGUGCUGGGUCCUCCCCCUUUUCUUUUAAUUGUCUUAAAUCCUAAUUAAACCCAUAUUUUAACAAAAAAAUCUGACUGUGGAGUACAGUUUAAUGCUGCUGGGUGCAUUUGGAUCCCAUGAUCUGGCAUGAUGAUAGCAGAAAACCCAACCAUUGACUCACUGCUCCUGCUGCUCCCAGGGCUUCAGGUGUCACAAACUGCACUGAAAACAGAGUCCCUGUAGCAGAAACAACCAGUGUAGACAUAACAUCAGGAAGCCUUGUUCAAACAAAAUCCUCUUGGAGUGACUGCAAUCAGAGUGAGAAAGGACAUGGGCCUGGUCUUUAUUUUUGAUCUCUUGCCUCUACAGUGAUUCAGGUUGGCUUGGAUAAUAAAAAUAAAUCCCUCCUCUUGCCAUAAAUCAGCAUAUUCUGGCUUUUAUCCCCAGGAUGAGCCUGUCUGUUCUACUGCCAGUGUCAUUCCCAGCUCUGUGUCCCAGUUCUGGGCUGGAUUAUCUUCAGGGACAGGCUGGUCCUUCUUAGGGCUCUCAGAAGACUGAGCAGAGCUUUGAGUCACCCCCUGUCUCUUCUCUGAGCAAACUCUCCUCCACGUGAGCAGAGCUGCAGGAGGGUUUGUGCCCUGGACAUUUGGCAUGUUUUGCCUAAAUUUACUGAAGUGUGGGGUGGGUGGGGCAGGUGAUGUCUUUGGUGCAGGAACUCCACCAGUGCUGUGUGUGCAUUCAUGCCCAGACCCCCCAAAUUCCCCCUCUGGUUCCCUUUCCAAAUCCUUCUCCACCUUCCCUCAGCCCCCAUCCCUUCCCAGCACUCAAUGCCUAGCUUGAAGAUUUUAUCCAUCUUUUCAUUCUUCUGCUAAGGGUACAACAAGCUGUAUUUUCCUCUUGGAAACUCAGUUUUGGGACACCAAGGAUGCUCAUUCCAAAUUUCUAUCUUGUGUGUUGGGAUAUACAAAUUUGGGGUUUGCUGUUGCCAAAAAAUUGGAAGCCAGGUGUAGAAGACUUCAGGUUCUUCCUCUCUGAGAAGGGUGUUUUUCCUUUGGCUUUUUUUUUUUUUUUUCCCUGUUGGAUGUAAUCUGUCUGAAGGCUUUAGAAAGAAUCCACAGGAGUUGCACAAUUUCAGCAAUUGGUGCAAUAAAUUAAAUAAAGAAGGUGUGUGGUUUUGAUAGGGAGGAAACAAGUAUGAGCAUAACAGCCCCAGUGGUAAACAGAGGACUUAAGGAGCUCAUGCAGAGAAAUCCAUAAAAAUAAAUUAAUUUCCAGACCAGGCUUGGAGUUGCAUCAAAUAUAAUUGAAAAAACUUCUCAGUUUUACUCCAUGGCUUUAUCAACAGGCUCCCCACUAAUGCUACAUUUCAGGAAUGCACAUUUCAAUACAGUUAAAUUCAAAACAGUGUGAAAAAUUAUUUGAAGUCCCACCAAAAUCACACAGGAUAUCUGAGGUUGGAGGGAAUCUCUGCUCAGAGUAGGAUUUACUAGAGCAGGUUCCUCAGGAAUAAUUGAGGUGCUGAUUUUAUUUAAUAAUUUAUUUCCUGAAUUGUGACUUCAGUUUUUCUAUUGUAUUUCUGAGGUUAAUGGGACACCAGGGAAAUUGUGUUUUAUCCUUUUCCUUUGGAGCUUCCAGGUCUGUGUCUUGCAGUUACAGUUCUGAUGAUUUUCAGGCUUUCUGCCUUGUUUUGAGAUGACAGCCACCCUGGCUCUGCAAUAAUACUGGAGAAUGAAUCACCAUGAAAAAAAAGCAGCAUAUUCCUGAUUUCUGAAUAUUUUGAGCCCAUCAACAAAGGCUUCAUUCCAAGUUUCAGAGAGCAGUGGGACCACCCCAAGAGCUGAGGGACAGCACCCACCCUGCUCCUGGGGCUGCUGGCCUCCUGCCUGCUGCAGAGCUGCUUCCAUCAGGGAAGUGGGGGUGGAAGAGCCCAGGGCUGCAUGGAGCAUCCUUCCCCAGCAGCUGUUGCAGAAAUGACCAGAAAGGAGAGUCAGUGCUCUCUGGGACUGCAGCAUCCAGAUUUUUCAGCACUGUGGGAAGCAGCCACUGGGAAACUCCUUAGCAGGAGCUGGAUGAAGGCUGGGAAUUCUUUGUCUCUAAUUCCAGAUUGGGAAGCCAUCAGCAAGGGAUGAAGCCUCACAUGCAACAUGAGAUUACCCAGAAAAACAAAAAUUCCCAGGGAAAAGGAGAAGAUGCUGAGGGAUGUGUAAACCACUCUGCAAGAUCAUCCCAGGAAAGGAACUAAAGGAGCCAGAAAUUAGGAGCUCCAUGGAAUGGUUAUGGGGAGAGGAUUCUGCUUUCCAGACUAAGUCCUCCCUGAUAUAAAUCUGUUCCAUUGGCUCUGAUUUUAUCAGAUGAGUGCAGCAGGAAAAGCACAAAAAGUGACAACAAAGCAGGGAGGAGGGGGACAUCAGGAAUCCUUGCUGUGUUGCCAAAUGAUGGAAAUAUGAAAGCUGCCAGAAAGAAC